UGCAUGAAGGGCGGUGGCAACAGCUACAACAGAUGAUCCAUCGCAUCCGAGAACUCAAAGGAUCAGACAGCAGAAUGGCGAGAUCACAGGAACCUGAACAGCUAACAUCACAAGAAGUGCAUGGCAUUGUCACAAAUCUCAUAACCUGAGCAUUCAUCCCCGGCGAGACAAUUCCACGUGGUAUUACGUUGCAAGGCUAUGCCACAUUGUACAACAUAAGACAGGGCCGCAGUCUUAAUUUCAUCAUCUGUCCUAAAUUCCAACUGGACGCUGGUCGAGUCAACACAGACUGCUGCCAUGUUACUACAGACGGUGAGCUAGUCGGCCGCCCGCCCGCCACACAACACACGGACAGUGGCAGGCUACAGAGAUUGUGGGGCACGUGUAGCUCCACCCCCAUCCCCCUUCCUCCAUCCCGCUCUAGUGUCACCCCUGUCCCCCACACAACACGAUACUGGGAGACCAACACCAGGGUGGGUGUGGUGGGUGGAGUGUGGUUGCCUGUCCUGGAGGUGGGUGUUGGGGAGGAGAGCCAGGUAGACAGUGGGGUGUGUGUUUGUCACCAGCGCCGCUCCUGGUGUGUCAGUGUAGGGAGCUGUGACACACACCGGGGAGUCUCUGUACCAUGGUGUAUCUGGCGGGGGAGGGGGGGAAGUGUUACAGAAACACAAUGUCUGACACACCCGGCACACAGGCCACCCUCCACCUAUGGCGUUGUGUUGGAUGUCGGGAGGGGUAGAAUAGGAUUUAUUGACGUAGACAGGUCGGUUGUUUUAGGGAAAGUUGAUGUGGAGUUCAAGGAGGAUCUUCUCCCUGUGUUUUCUGUCUGUCCGUUCAGUGACUGCACAGUAAACAUGAAGGUGGUCAGUGGGGAGGAGAUCCUCAUGUCUGACAUCAAGAAAUCACUCAUUAAUGAAGCCCUGGCCUAAGAAAUAAACUAAACAUGACCCAGUGUAAACUUGUAAAUAUCACACAUCAACUUUAUCAGACAAAUUCAAUACAACAGAACUGAAA